UCAAUAGAUUAAGAGGAAUUAGUUGCUUAUAUUCUCAAUGGUUUAGAUAAGGAUUUUGAACCUGUUGUAUCUGCUAUUGUGGCACGCAAUGAAUCUGUCACAAUGGGAGAUGUAUACUCUAUGUUGCUGAACUUUGAGA
rnacentral:snoRNA from 1 species